rnacentral:rRNA from 1 species
CGCGAAUGGCUCAUUACAACAGCCAUAGUUUAUUAGAUCUAACUCUACUUGGAUACCUGUGGUAACCUAAGAGCUAAUACAUGCAAUCAAGUCCUGACCUUUCGGGAAGGACGCAUUUAUUAGAACAAAACCAAUCGGGCUUGCCCGUAGUUUGGUGAAUCUGAAUAACUAUGCAGAUCGCACAGUCUUGGAACUGGCGACGUAUCUUUCAAAUGUCUGGCUUAUCAACUUUCGACAGUAGUUUACACGUCUACCGUGGUCGUAACGGGUAACGGAGAAUUAGGGUUCGACUCCGGAGAGGGAGCCUGAGAAACGGCUACCACAUCCAAGGAAGGCAGCAGGCACGCAAAUUACCCACUCUCGGCACGGGGAGGUAGUGACGAAAAAUAACGAGUCGGUUCUCUAAGAGGCCCGACAUCGAAAUGGGUACAAUUUAAAUCCUUUAACGAGGAUCUAUUGGAGGGCAAGUCUGGUGCCAGCAGCCGCGGUAAUUCCAGCUCCAGAAGCGUAUAUUAAAGUUGUUGCGGUUAAAAAGCUCGUAGUUGGAUCUACGCCUUUGGUUGGCGGUCCCCCAGAAGGGUGGUACUGCCGUACCAGGGCUAUUUUUCUGGUUUUCUCUUGGUGCUCUUUACCGAGUGCUUUGGGUGACUGGAACAUUCACUUUGAAAAAAUUAGAGUGCUCAAAGCAGACGAUCUGCCUGAAUAGUGGUGCAUGGAGUAAUAGAAUAGGACUUCGGUUCUAUUUUGUUGGUUUUCGGAACUCGAGGUAAUGAUUAAGAGGGACAGACGGGGGCAUUCGUAUUGCGACGUUAGAGGUGAAAUUCUUGGAUCGUCGCAAGACGCACAACUGCGAAAGCAUUUGCCAAGAAUGUUUUCAUUAAUCAAGAACGGAAGUUAGAGGUUCGAAGGCGAUCAGAUACCGCCC